GAUGAACGCUGGCGGCGUGCCUAAUACAUGCAAGUCGAGCGAACAGACGAGGAGCUUGCUCCUCUGACGUUAGCGGCGGACGGGUGAGUAACACGUGGAUAACCUACCUAUAAGACUGGGAUAACUUCGGGAAACCGGAGCUAAUACCGGAUAAUAUAUUGAACCGCAUGGUUCAAUAGUGAAAGACGGUUUUGCUGUCACUUAUAGAUGGAUCCGCGCCGCAUUAGCUAGUUGGUAAGGUAACGGCUUACCAAGGCAACGAUGCGUAGCCGACCUGAGAGGCUGGUCGGCCACAUUGGAACUGGGACGCGGUCCAGACUCCUACGGGAGGCAGCAGUAGGGAAUCUUCCGCAAUAGGCGAAAGCCUUACGGAGCAACGCCGCGUGAGUGAUGACGGUCUUCGGAUCGUAAAACUCUGUUAUUAGGGAAGAACAAAUGUGUAAGUAACUAUACACGUCUUGACGGUACCUAAUCAGAAAGCCACGGCUAACUACGUG
rnacentral:rRNA from 1 species